GCGGUAGAGAGAAGCUUGCUUCUCUUGAGAGCGGCGGACGGGUGACCAAUGCCUAGGAAUCUGCCUGGUAGUGGGGGAUAACGUUCGGCAACGGACGCUAAUACCGCAUACGUCCUACGGGAGAAAGCAGGGGACCUUCGGGCCUUGCGCUAUCAGAUGAGCCUAGGUCGGAUUAGCUAGUUGGUGAGGUAAUGGCUCACCAAGGCGACGAUCCGUAACUGGUCUGAGAGGAUGAUCAGUCACACUGGAACUGAGACACGGUCCAGACUCCUACGGGAGGCAGCAGUGGGGAAUAUUGGACAAUGGGCGAAAGCCUGAUCCAGCCAUGCCGCGUGUGUGAAGAAGGUCUUCGGAUUGUAAAGCACUUUAAGUUGGGAGGAAGGGUUGUAGAUUAAUACUCUGCAAUUUUGACGUUACCGACAGAAUAAGCACCGGCUAACUCUGUGCCAGCAGCCGCGGUAAUACAGAGGGUGCAAGCGUUAAUCGGAAUUACUGGGCGUAAAGCGCGCGUAGGUGGUUUGUUAAGUUGGAUGUGAAAUCCCCGGGCUCAACCUGGGAACUGCAUUCAAAACUGACUGACUAGAGUAUGGUAGAGGGUGGUGGAAUUUCCUGUGUAGCGGUGAAAUGCGUAGAUAUAGGAAGGAACACCAGUGGCGAAGGCGACCACCUGGACUAAUACUGACACUGAGGUGCGAAAGCGUGGGGAGCAAACAGGAUUAGAUACCCUGGUAGUCCACGCCGUAAACGAUGUCAACUAGCCGUUGGAAGCCUUGAGCUUUUAGUGGCGCAGCUAACGCAUUAAGUUGACCGCC
rnacentral:rRNA from 1 species